rnacentral:tRNA from 1 species
GUUGAUUUAACUUAAUAAAAAGUGUGGCUUUGAAGCGGCUAAAAUGAGAUCUCUCAGUCAACA